UGCUGUGGCCGCCGGGUGCUUGUUUCUCUUGGCUUCGGGUGGCAGAAGUGGAGGCUCCAGCGCGGUCCGAAGGGCUAAACCCAAAGGGCGGGAGGCGCGGUCCGCGCCGGAAAUCCCGGCUCAGUUCCGAGCGCGGCCUCCUUCUUCGCCCAGCCCUCCUGCACGUUCAGUCCCGCGCUGGGACGCAUUCUUCUCCCAAGUCCAGACCCCACUUCCUUGCACAAGUGACCUUCUCCAGGAGAGAGGGAAGAUGGGAAAGUUGGCAGACAGCUACAAAUCUCCUUAAAAAGGAGUCUCUUCAGAAUUUAGCAAGAGCGGUGACCCAUUUUGUUGCUGACUGGGUCCAUACAGGAUUAUUUACGUAUGCUUGAAACUUCAGAAGUCUACCUGAUGUGUCUAGGUGUGGGUCUCAGUUUUAUCAUUUAUUAAUUGAUUACACAAAGAUUU